GGCCGGCCUAUACAUGCAAGUCGAACGGUAACAAAUAGUAUCUUGCUACUUUGCUGACUAGUGGCGGACGGGUGAAUAAUGUCUGGGGAUCUGCCUGAUGGGGGGGAUAACUACUGGAAACGGUAGCUAAUACCGCAUAAUGUCGCAAGACCAAAGCGGGGGACUUUCGGGCCUCGCACCAUCAUAUGAACCCAUAUGGGAUUAUCUAGUAUGUAGGGUAAUGGCUUACCUACGACACUAUCCCUAUCUGGUCUGAGAAGAUGACCACCCACACUGGAACUGACACACGGUCCACACUCCUACGGGAGGCAGCAGUGGGGAAUAUUGCACAAUGGGCGCAAGCCUGAUGCACCCAUGCCGCGUGUAUGAAGAAGGCCUUCGGGUUGUAAAGUACUUUCAGUCGAGAGGAGGGGUGUGAAAUUAAUACUUUCAUGCAUUGACGUUACUGACAGAAGAAGCACCGGCUAUCUCCGUGCCAGCAGCCGCGGUAAUACAGAGGGGUGCAAGCGUUAAUCAAAUUACUGGGCGUAGAGCGCACGCGCGCGGUGUGUUAACUCAUAUGUGAUAUCCCCGGGCUCACCUGGGAACUGUAUUUGACACUGGCAAUCUUGAGUCUUGUAGAGGGGGGUAGAAUUUCCGUGUGUAGCCGCUGAAAUGCGUAGAGAUCUGGAGGGAAUACCGUGGUGGAAAGGCGGCGCCCCCGGACAAAGACUGAGGCUCAGGUGUGAAAGAGUGGGGAGCACACACGAAUUAGAUACCCUGGUAGUGUACGCCUAAAGAUGUCGACUUGGAGGGUGUUCCCUGAGGAGUGGCUUCUCGAGAUAACACGUUAAGUCGACCGCGCGGGGAGUACGCCCGCAAGGUUAAAACUCAAAUGAAUUGAGGGGGGCGCGCACAAGCGGUGGAGCAUGUGGUUUAUAUUGAUGCAACGCGAAGAGCAUUACCUACUCUUGACAUCCAGAGAAUUUAGCAGAGAUGCUUUAGUGCGUUCGGGAACUCUGAGACAGAUGUUGCAUGGCGGUGGUCAGCUCGUGUUGUGAAAUGUAGGGUUAAGUCUCGCAACGAGAGCAACCCCUAUCUUUUGUUGCCAGCACGUAAUGGUGGGAACUCAAAGGAGAGUGCCGGUGAUAAACCGGAGGAAGGUGGGGAGGAGGUCAAGUCAUCAUGGCCCCUACGAGUAGGGGUACACACGUGCUACAAUGGCGCAUACAAAGAGAAAAACCUCCUGAGAGCAAGCGGACCUCAUAAAAUGCGUCGUAGUCCGGAUUGGAGUAUUCAACUAGACUCCAUGAAGUCGGAAUCGUUAGUAAUCGUAAAUCAGAAUGAACGGUGAAUACGAUC
rnacentral:rRNA from 1 species